rnacentral:rRNA from 1 species
GACGAACGCUGGCGGCGUGCUUAACACAUGCAAGUCGAACGGUAAGGCCCUUCGGGGUACACGAGUGGCGAACGGGUGAGUAACACGUGGGUGAUCUACCCUGCACUUCGGGAUAAGCCUGGGAAACUGGGUAUAAUACCGGUUAGGACCACUGCCUGCAUGGGUGGUGGUGGAAAGCUUUUGCGGUGUGGGAUGGGCCCGCGGCCGAUAAGCUUGUUGGUGGGGUGAUGGCUUGCCAAGGCGACGACGGGUAGCCGGCCUGAGUGGGUGACCGGCCACACUGGGACUGAGAUACGGCCCAGACUCCUACGGGAGGGAGCAGUGGGGAAUAUUGCACAAUGGGCGCAAGCCUGAUGCAGCGACGCCGCGUGAGGGAUGACGGCCUUCGGGUUGUAAACCUCUUUCAGCUCCGACGAAGCGCAAGUGACGGUAGGUGCAGAAGAAGGACCGGCCAACUACGUGCCAGCAGCAGCCGCCG